GAUGAACGCUGGCGGCGUGCCUAAUACAUGCAAGUCGAGCGAACAGACGAGAAGCUUGCUCCUCUGACGUUAGCGGCGGACGGGUGAGUAACACGUGGAUAACCUACCUAUAAGACUGGGAUAACUUCGGGAAACCGGAGCUAAUACCGGAUAAUAUUUUGAACCGCAUGGUUCAAUAGUGAAAGACGGUCUUGCUGUCACUUAUAGAUGGAUCCGCGCCGCAUUAGCUAGUUGGUAAGGUAACGGCUUACCAAGGCAACGAUGCCUAGCCGACCUGAGAGGGGGAACCGGCAAACCUGAACUGAGACACGGUCCCGACCCCCAAGGGAGGCAGGAGGAGGGAAUCUUCCGGAAAUGGCGAAAGGCUGAAGGAGGAACGGCGGGUGGGGGAAUAAGGGUUUCGGAUCGGAAAACUCUGUUAAUUGGGAAAAAAAAUAGGGGAAGGUACUAGUCACGUCUUGACCGUUCCUUAACAAAAAAGCACCGGCAACCUCGGG
rnacentral:rRNA from 1 species